AUUCAGGGGUCAAGUUUGCUCUCAUAUAAUAAUGCUCUUUCUUAAGAACAGUUCACUCAUUCUGCAAGACUAGUAUCAAUCCCUCCCAAGGGCAGCGCCCCCAGUGACCUUAUUACCAUGCACAACAAGAAAAGUAACUAAGACAAGGACAUGGAAACGUUUUCUUCCAUUUCAUAAGCAAAUGAUUAUUAUUCAAGAUAAAUAUGAGAACAGAAUUUGGGGAGAAUGUGGGACUUGAAUUCAGAGGACCUGGAUCCAAGUACUAAUUCUUCAUCCUAUUAGCUGUGAUAAUUUGGACAAAUUCCUUCACCUUUUUGUGUCUCAAUUACUUUAUCUAUAAAAUGGAGAUGAUGGUACCUACUUCAUAAGUCUUUUA
rnacentral:lncRNA from 1 species